AUUUAUAUAGUUUAAAAAAAACAAUAUAUUUUCAAUAUAUAAUUAAUAAUAUUCCCAGACUAUUCAUUUAUUUAUAAAUU
rnacentral:tRNA from 1 species